UACGUAGGGUGCAAGCGUUGUCCGGAAUUAUUGGGCGUAAAGGGCGCGUAGGCGGCUCUGCACGUCCGUUGUGAAAUCGCCCGGCUCAACUGGGCGGGGUCAGCGGAUACGGCGGAGCUUGAGCAAGCUAGGGGGCAAUGGAAUUCCCGGUGUAGUGGUGGAAUGCGUAGAUAUCGGGAGGAACACCAGUGGCGAAGGCGGCUCACUGGUCCGGUACUGACGCUGAGGUGCGAAAGCGUGGGGAGCAAACAGG
rnacentral:rRNA from 1 species